UGCUCCUUGGGUGACGAGUGGCGGACGGGUGAGUAAUGUCUGGGAAACUGCCCGAUGGAGGGGGAUAACUACUGGAAACGGUAGCUAAUACCGCAUAACGUCGCAAGACCAAAGAGGGGGACCUUCGGGCCUCUUGCCAUCGGAUGUGCCCAGAUGGGAUUAGCUAGUAGGUGGGGUAACGGCUCACCUAGGCGACGAUCCCUAGCUGGUCUGAGAGGAUGACCAGCCACACUGGAACUGAGACACGGUCCAGACUCCUACGGGAGGUAGCAGUGGGGAAUAUUGCACAAUGGGCGCAAGCCUGAUGCAGCCAUGCCGCGUGUAUGAAGAAGGCCUUCGGGUUGUAAAGUACUUUCAGCGAGGAGGAAGGUGUUGUGGUUAAUAACCGCAGCGAUUGACGUUACUCGCAGAAGAAGCACCGGCUAACUCCGUGCCAGCAGCCGCGGUAAUACGGAGGGUGCAAGCGUUAAUCGGAAUUACUGGGCGUAAAGCGCACGCAGGCGGUCUGUCAAGUCGGAUGUGAAAUCCCCGGGCUCAACCUGGGAACUGCAUCCGAAACUGGCAGGCUAGAGUCUUGUAGAGGGGGGUAGAAUUCCAGGUGUAGCGGUGAAAUGCGUAGAGAUCUGGAGGAAUACCGGUGGCGAAGGCGUCCCCUGGACAAAGACUGACGCUCAGGUGCGAAAGCGUGGGAGCAAACAGGAUUAGAUACCCUGCUAGUCCACGCCGUAAANGAUGUCGACUUGGAGNUGUGUCCUAUGAGACGUGGCUUCUGGAGCUAACGCGUUAAGUCGAUCCGCCUGGGGAGUACGACGCAAGAUAAAACUCAAUGAAUGACCGCGGGCUCGCCCANCGGUGGAGCAUGUGUCGAUGCAACGCGAAAAACUAAGUCCUGCAUGCAUGAACUAACAAAAAUUGCUGUGGCUUACUGAA
rnacentral:rRNA from 1 species